rnacentral:rRNA from 1 species
UACGUAGGGUGCAAGCGUUGUCCGGAAUUAUUGGGCGUAAAGCGCGUGUAGGCGGCUUGUUAAGUCGGUUGUGAAAACCCAUGGCUCAACCAUGGAAGGGCGUCCGAAACUGGCAAGCUAGAGUCCCGACGAGGAUGGCGGAAUUCCCAGUGUAGAGGUGAAAUUCGUAGAUAUUGGGAGGAACACCGGUGGCGAAGGCGGCCAUCUGGGAGGGCACUGACGCUGAGACGCGAAAGCGUGGGGAGCAAACAGG